AAUUUUACAGUAUUAUUAAGAUUCCCACGUAUAAUAUUUUUUUUUUGUAUUUUCUUCCGUUAUUUAAAAAUACCCUCACAGUUACUAUUUAAUAAGUUAUCUCGAAUUAAACGUAAGUUAAGUGUCUAUUAGGAUUAAAAUAAAUUAAAAUACCUCUUCACAGGAAUAUAUAAGCAAUUGCCCCUAUUUUCUAGCACUAAUGAACUAUCAUAUAGAACAAAACCUAAACUGAUAUUCAUUUCAAGACGCUGCUU
rnacentral:lncRNA from 1 species